rnacentral:rRNA from 1 species
AACCCGAGAGAGUCGGGCCGUUCCCCGUUCGGGGGACAGGGUGACAGGUGGUGCAUGGUUGUCGUCAGCUCGUGUCGUGAGAUGUUGGGUUAAGUCCCGCAACGAGCGCAACCCUUAUCUUUAAUUGCCAGCAUUCAGUUGGGCACUUUAAAGAGACUGCCGGUGUUAAACCGGAGGAAGGUGGGAUGACGUCAAGUCCUCAUGGCCUUUAUGCUUAGGGCUACACACGUGCUACAAUGGGUGGUACAAAGAGAAGCCAACUCGCGAGAGCGCGCCAAUCUCAAAAAGCCAUCCUCAGUUCGGAUUGGAGUCUGCAACUCGACUCCAUGAAGUUGGAAUCGCUAGUAAUCGCGGAUCAGCAUGCCGCGGUGAAUACGUUCCCGGGCCUU